GCCGGAGCGAAUAACUAAUAGCCGCGGCUAUUAGGUAUGCAAAAACCGUACGGAAUCCGUAGGGAAUCCGUACGGGAAUUCCUGCCAAACCGCACGGAUUCGGUACGGAAUGUAUUCCAUAGGGUUUCUGUACGGUUUCCGUGCGGUUUAGCACUUUUACCGCAUUCUAGGGCCAGUUUGUGGCCUUCUUGGCUUUCCAUACCACAUGUCCCACAGAGCAGCCAUGACGCUUCGCUGAAUUACCCAGCUGAUGACUUCUGUAUUUACUGGGCACUUUCGUGAACUUUUGGACGUGCACUCGUGUUGUUUUGACUCCAAGAUAAACGUGGCCUCAUUAUAAAUCAACGUCACCUGGACUCCGCGAUAGACCAUGACGAGAUAUGAUGCAUCAAUCGUUCAAUGUGAAAACAAACCCGAACAAACUGGCGCUCUGGUUUGAAACUCGAGCAGAAAGAAGAAGAGCACCAGACUGUGAUCCACUCACUGGAGUCCCCGAUCACCACCACGCUCCUGUUGUGCAGCAGCUGGGCCGCGGUCUGAUGGCCGACGGACGCCAUGGCCUCAUAACUCUUUUUGGAUUGGAAAACUAAAUGUCAACAUCGAUGAAUGCUACUUUCUUAAAGGUAUUGGAAUGUGAUAAAUGCCAGAUGGUUGGAAAACCUUUGGCUGCUGCAUAGCCAUUACAGUGUAUACAGUGUCUGCUGUCUGGGAGCUAAUUGGUAUUGACCUGACCGGACCUCUCCCAAAAACUGUGGAUGGCUUCCAGUACAUUUUAACAGCCACAGAUUACUUCUAAAAAUGGGUUGAGGCUUUCCCAUUCAAGAAAAAAAACUGAAGCUGAAGUGGGACGCCACAUCUGUUCGAUUAUUUAUACACAUAGUUGUCCCAAAAGAAUUUUAUCUGACCAUGGAAGAGAGUUUUUUAGUGAACUCAACACCAGCCUUUGCAGUAUUUUGGCUAUUCAAAGAAGUGUGACAGCUGCCUAUCAUCCCCAAACCAAUGGGAAUGCUGAGGACUUCUGUGUGGUGUGCUCCUUUGCCGAAUAAAAUGCAGAUGAGAGCAUGAUUGAAAAGUUGCAGUGUGGAUUAUGCAGUCGAUGGGCACAUUUUGAGUGUGCCCAAUAUGCCCAUGAAAAUAAGGCUGUAUAUAUUUGAAAGAAAUGCAUAAAAAUAAAAUAAAG
ensembl:lncRNA